rnacentral:snRNA from 1 species
UCCCGGGAAGUCCUCGUGU